rnacentral:lncRNA from 1 species
AAGAGGCCUUGUCGGCCUUGUCGGCUUUGUCGGAAUAAGAGGAUUUAGAAGAUUCUUCCUUGUUGGCUUCUGCGGAUGCAGCUUCUUCAUUUUCAUUACUUUCGGCAGCCGCUGUCUUUUUGCUGUACAAUUAAAGAAGAAGGGCUUGCUGGAUCAACUCGAAAGUGAAACCAAUUUUGAUUUAGAAGAAAAAAAACUGACCCGUAUGGAGCGGAGCGGAUCUCCGAGACGAAAACACUGGCAACGAGGAGGACAAUCAAGGUGAGCUUCAUUUUCUCAGUUUGUUUCGAGUCUGAAUGUGAUGUUUGUCGACGCUGAGCUCGGCUAUUUAAAGGUAGAGCGGGGCACGUACAAGUCCGCGCGCAGCGUUGCACAAUCACCGUCAAACCGUUGAUGGGGCGGUGGGGAGAGGCUUAUCUGCACCUCCCACUUGUAUCGGGGCACGUUCGUUUAAAAGGUUGGCCAAAAAAACUGAAAAAUAAUGCCCGAUUGGUGCUGUCCUCAAAAACUAGAAUUUGUCUAAGGAAAAGUUGUAACCAAAGUAUUGGGUGAAAAGAAAGUAUCAUUCCCUUCGGCGAAAAUGGCAGUCAGAGGAGAGAAGAAAAAGACAGGCUUUGAAAUUGGCGCAUUGGUGAUUGUAAAAAUAUUAUGUAGGCAAAUUUCAAAUGCUCUUUGCUCGGCAUGAAGUGUGUGCUAUCAAAAUGCGUAUCGGUAAUGGCCAACGGCCUCGGAAAUUCAAUCGAGGUGACACCACAAAAGUCAUAAUUUAUAUGUGCAUUUGAACGAAUGGAUCAUGAUUUAUUCAAAUUGCUUUCUACGUAAAUGUCCACAGGAUGAAUGGCUAUAAAUUUGAAUAUGGGGAUAACCCAAGUGAGAUUGCAGAAAAGCAAAUCUUUCGUUUGCUGAUCGCCUCCCGAUACGUUCGUGCUAACCGGGCCAAGUGUGCAACUUUCAACGAGUUUGGAGGCGCAAUUCCACCGCUUGUUAAGGAAGGAGUGACGAGUGAAGUCAAAGAAAAUCCAUUAAUACCGGGACGAUACGGAUGUGUUUAAAUAUCUCAGUCACGAAAUACGGGAUUGACGAGAUCGGCCACUGAACGAAAUAGAGAAUGUCCACUUUCCAGUUGAAGAAGAAAGUGGCGAUGUCGUCCACUUAAUUCUUUAUUUUUUAAUUUUAUUCCUUUCAAAAAUGUUCUUUGUUUUUAUUUCAGUUUUGUUGCUGGGCUGCUCCUUUCUUUACCCGGAAUGUGAAUUGCGAAACGUCACGGAACUGUCGAAUGAAGAGCUUCAAAGUGAUGCCGUCUUUUUCCAGCAUCGGAAAAGAGGAAACAGACGGGGUAGGAAAAGCCAUUUAAAAAAGGAUUGUUCUGAUGACAUCCAACCCCGAAGGAAAAUUGGCGAAUUGCAGCGAUGAAAAGCUGUGCCCAGUUUAACCAAAACAACUUUGAGUUUCAAUUCGUUUCACAAAAGAGACAACAACUGCUCAAGUUAACUCUCCGUCAAACUUUAAUUUGACGAGAAUUGGUGAAACUAAUACGUCAUUUGGAGUCGUUAAACUUGACCAUUUGGUCAGACGAACGUUGGGCUUGCUCUCUGUCGAAUCAGAAAAACGGACAAUCGCGAAGGAAUUCAGCGUACGUUGUUCUACGUCACAUUCAAGUCAUGCCCGCUAGCAUCGAAACUAAUGAUGACUGUCGGGUGAAACUCCUUUUCCACGAACUUUCGGAUCAACUUGCACAGCUUUCGUUUACAAUACGCAGAAGCGAUUGACAGAUAGUAGAAUCCAGUUGUGCAAGAGGUUUUAACGUGCAGUUAAUUUUCCAAUGCUGUUAUGUAAGCGGGGGCGUGCACGAUCAAGGCCAUUAACAAUUCAAGAUCAUUGGUUAUCAUUCGUCCUCCAGAUUAUUGUAAAAGAUUGUGAUUUUCAAUUUUGAAUUGAAUGAACUGCUGGACGCGUGGGUUCGCAAUCACUUCCCCUUCUCAGCAGAAUGGACAGAAAUUGAAUUCACUAACCGCAGUUUUCCCUGGCUGUAUUUUGAAUUCGCAAGUGUUUUAAAUGAAGUAGUGUUACAUCACACGUACGUAUGAAAAGUGCUUGUGGGUAAUAUCGUUCAAUAAAAUAACAGAUAGUUAAGAAACAAAACAAGAAA